rnacentral:rRNA from 1 species
UACAGAGGGGGCAAGCGUUAUUCGGAAUUAUUGGGCGUAAAGGGCGCGUAGGCGGCUUUGCAAGUGACGGGUGAAAGCCCUCGGCUUAACCGAGGAACUGCCUGUCAGACUGUGAGGCUUGAGACCGGGAGAGGUGAGUGGAAUUCCCAGUGUAGCGGUGAAAUGCGUAGAUAUUGGGAGGAACCCCAGUGGCGAAGGCGGCUCACUGGACCGGAACUGACGCUGAGGCGCGAAAGCGUGGGGAGCAAACAGG